CGGGGCGUAGCGCAGUCUGGUAGCGCACUUGCAUGGGGUGUAAGGGGUCGAAGGUUCAAAUCCUUCCGUUCCGACCA
rnacentral:tRNA from 1 species